UACGUAGGGGGCAAGCGUUGUUCGGAAUUACUGGGCGUAAAGGGCGCGUAGGCGGCCUGUUAAGUCGAACGUGAAAUCCCCGGGCUCAACCCGGGAACUGCGUCCGAUACUGGCAGGCUUGAAUCCGGGAGAGGGAUGCGGAAUUCCAGGUGUAGCGGUGAAAUGCGUAGAUAUCUGGAGGAACACCUGCGGCGAAGGCGGGUUGCUGGGCUGACACUGACGCUGAGGCGCGAAAGCUAGGGGAGCGAACGGG
rnacentral:rRNA from 1 species